CACCACACGUCCCAACCCACCUUACGGGCCCGUAUCACCGGCGGCACCGCUUGCUGCCACAUCAGAGGGGAUGUCGUGCCGUAGCGACGUCCACCGGCGCGGCUCAUCUUCAUGGCCGUCGCGAGGCUGGUGGCCGCUCCACUCCCUCUCGCAGCCUCCCGCGCCCGUGCCUCGCCGGCGGGGCUCACCUUCGGCCCGUCCCGACGGCAGGGCCGACGCCGCGGAGGUGGACGAGGCGAAAGAUUGGACGGUGGCGGCGGGGAAGGGGUGACGGAGGGCAAGGCGAGCUGUUGCGCCGCGGGAGGCUCCGCCACGCCGCUGCCGACAAGCGCGACGAGGCCCGUCGCAGGGAGGGCCGCGCCGAGCGGCGUCGACUCCGUCGCCUCGCCGCCAGCGAGCAUGGGCCGUGAGGAAGAGGCGCGCCACGGGGAGGACUCCGCCACGCCACCGUCUUUUCUCGGUCUCUUUUCUCUUCUUCGCGCGGAACUUUGCGUGGGGCUGCGCCUGCGCGUGGUGGUCGUCGGAUUCAUGGUGGUGGAGGGGCUACCGAUGGGCGGGGAGCCGGGGACGUGGCGGAGAGUCCGUGGAGGCCGCUCAAUCUCAAAGCUGGUAGUCGGGGCGUCCUCUCUGCCGCGACCGCGUUGCUCGAGGCCGCACUGAGCUGCUCCUCCAACCCGAGUCCACCCCGUCUUCGUCCCGCGCGGACGGAGGCGCACUUCCCGGAGCUCCGGCCACUGCCGUACCCGGUGGCCGCUCCCCUGCGAACCCAGCGGCGAUGGGGGUGCGCGUCCGCGUCCACCUGGGCGCCGGCACCGCGGGGAGGAGAACAUGACGGCGGCGGUCAAGGCGGAGUGGUGCAGCGCGCCCUCGUGCGCCUCGCCGCUGGCGUACUCGGAGAGCGCGGCGUCCUGCCCCGCGUGCGCCCGACAGCGUGCCGCGCCUCCACGGUACUGUGCUUCGUCCCAUGCUAUUUCCUUGCCACGGUUUUAAUUUCUCCUUAAAAUAUUGUGAGAAGAAGACAUAAUGAAAUUACAUUUGGUAACAGUUAAGGUUUUUAGAAUAAGAAUCUGAAGAUGGAUUGCACGCUUCUAAAGAAUUUAUCUCGGAAUUCCUAUGGAUGGAAGGUCAAGGUCCGGUUUGCUAGGAUCUGAGAGCUCAGAAAUACAGAUCAGGGGAUUCUCUUCUCACUUGAUUAUGUCGUCGCUGACCAGCAGGUUAGAUCUAUUUGCACUGCUUUCCUAUCUACGAGAUUGUUUAGAUCUAAUGUAUCAGUCAAUGUGUUCGUGUGCCCGCUCUCGCAUCAUGUCCCUUUCUUUGUAGUGCCUCAGGCUAUGUGUGCCUAUCUUCCGUUUUUCUUUUCUCAUUUUCUUAUUCAUAUGUUUGGUGCGCGCGACUAAUAUGGCCUGUUACAAGUCAAAUUGAUAAAUAGGUAAACUUUGUUUAUUGUUGUCAUCUCUCUCAUUGUUGCUCGGCUUAGUGAUUCUCUCGAUUUGCCACUAUAUUGCUCUACUUUAUUAUUACAGAAUUUAUUUUCCUCUUUGUUUUUGCAAUGCUUUACAGAGGAAGGUUUAGUUUUUAAAGAUCAGUUAAAGGAAGGGUCUGUUUACAUCAUGGAGAAAUUUGAUCUAUAUGGUCCUAGAAAGAGCUACAGGUCGGUUCCUUUGAGGACCUGUUUUACUCUAAGAACUGUCCUGACACCGCCGGAAAAUUUUCCUAUGUUUGCCUAUACUGUUCUGCUGUUUAGCAUGCUGUCAGAUUGCAUUGAUCAAAAUACACUCCUAUCUGAUGUUGUUGGAUUGGUUAACAAAGUGACGGAUGUCUUUCCUCCCUCUGGUAAUGCUAAAAGUCAGAAGCGGCAAAAACAUAUCACAGAUGACAGCAAGCACGCCAUUGUUACUUUGUGGAGGGGAGCAGGCUGAUUUAUCUGAUGCUGAUGGAUUAAUGGAGGCAUCAAAUGAAGAACCAGGUUUGUUGGCUUUCAAAAGUACAUCUGUUACAAGAUGGUAUGUGAAUAUGCCGAUUCCAGAGAAUGCCGCUGUCCGAGAUAGGUCCAAGCAUCUGCCGUGGCUUAUCGAGUUACACAGUGGAAACCAAGGUCGCACUGAGCCGAAAGUAUCGACUAUCGCAGAGAUUGCGACCUUUGAGUCUAAUUAUAUUAUGGGUUUCCAGGCAGCACGCCAUUGUUACUUUGUGGAGGGGAGCAGGCUGAUUUAUCUGAUGCUGAUGGAUUAAUGGAGGCAUCAAAUGAAGAACCAGGUUUGUUGGCUUUCAAAAGUACAUCUGUUACAAGAUGGUAUGUGAAUAUGCCGAUUCCAGAGAAUGCCGCUGUCCGAGAUAGGUCCAAGCAUCUGCCGUGGCUUAUCGAGUUACACAGUGGAAACCAAGGUCGCACUGAGCCGAAAGUAUCGACUAUCGCAGAGAUUGCGACCUUUGAGUCUAAUUAUAUUAUGGGUUUCCAGGCAGCACGCCAUUGUUACUUUGUGGAGGGGAGCAGGCUGAUUUAUCUGAUGCUGAUGGAUUAAUGGAGGCAUCAAAUGAAGAACCAGGUUUGUUGGCUUUCAAAAGUACAUCUGUUACAAGAUGGUAUGUGAAUAUGCCGAUUCCAGAGAAUGCCGCUGUCCGAGAUAGGUCCAAGCAUCUGCCGUGGCUUAUCGAGUUACACAGUGGAAACCAAGGUCGCACUGAGCCGAAAGUAUCGACUAUCGCAGAGAUUGCGACCUUUGAGUCUAAUUAUAUUAUGGUGUGGUAUUGUCAAAUGCGUUCCAAUCAGUGUGUUGUGGCUCUCAGGGUUUCCAGGCACCGGUGAAAUGAGAGUAAAAGAACAUCCUGCUAUAAGAGAAGUGACCCUAAUCAGAUCAUAUUCACAGAUGUUGCCAUGUAACAUGAGCAUAUCCGAGGAAGCGAAUUAGCAGAUCUUUCUCUUCAAAUGUAUGCAAUCAGCCAGUUGUUUGAUUUGCCAAGAAACCAUUAUCAUAUCAUAUUCAGAUGCUUUAAUCACCUCUACACGUAUGCAGUAAGCGAAUAAGCACAUCAAUUCAUACAGAUACUUGGUCCAUAUUUUGGGUCUUUGGUUACUCCAUGACCCUCUGCAAUGUAUACAUACACCUGGUACUAAACAUUCUAUGGGUUUAUUAGCUGGUUCCCUCUUCUCAGAUAUAUAAUUACUGCCCAUCAUGUUUAUUACUCCCCAGCAUGGUUCAUUCAGGCAGUAAUUUUGAUAUGCUCUGCUCAGAAACUGUAUCAGGUUUGGAACCUUUGAUAUGAGCCUUUUCAGGUAAAGAAAGAUGACAAUAAGAUCCUAUAUGACAGAUGAAGGGUGUGAAAUCCCUGCUGUGUAGACAAAAGCUAAGUUUUAUGUUGGCGUGACUGCCACUGUCCCUUACUCCUGUUCUAUCCCGUGUGGAGUCCUACUUAUGUACCGAAUAGAGAAGCAUUUAGGUUUGUAGUCUACUCAUUUUUGCCAACAUAAGAUUAUAUUUUUGUUGGUUCCUGAUUGUUUUCUUUGUCUGGAAAACAAGGUAUAUAUACCUCUUCCGCUUUCUUUUUGCCUCCCUUUUAGAUUUAUACACACUCUCUUAUAUUACUUAUAAAUUUGAUCAGUAUGUUAUUUGCCUCUGUUUUUUGCGCCCAUACCAUCACAGGCGGUGUUUCCGCUACUGUAAUAUACAGUUACAUAUACAUUGCUGAAUGUUUAGUUGAUGUUCUUUGGUCUGGUUGGCGAUUAAAGAAGCCGCUUGCUCUAUAUGAUAUUGAGCAUGGCUUCGUUAUUUUGUUUCAAACCUUAUGAGCGAGUUGAUAUUUACCUUUUGUGCUCCCAUCAGUUUAGGAAUUAGUCAUUCUCUUCCGUUCAUUAGAAUACAAGAAUAGUACUCCUUACUGUUCUCCUUGUUCUGAAAUUAGCAGGAACAUAUAUGCAUGUUGUAUUAUCUCCUAAUGCUAUGUUUAAUCAAAUUGAUCUUCUUUGCAAGGUGAACUAUUGCCUAAUAUUGACAAUCUACUAUUCAAUUUCUUUUGUGGGGUGUUGCUUCUUCACCAACUUGGCAGUAAUUGUUUUCCAUUUUACAUGUAGGUAUGCAUCGACAAGAAAGAGAUGCUGCAUUUUAUUAUAUAUUUUUUGCUAGCUUGACCAUACCAGUGCAUCUCAGGAAAGGGAAUCAAAAAUAUGGCACUAUGUGUGUGGUGCCAACUUUAGUGACACCACUCUGAAGAGGCCCUUACUCUUCGUUAUAUGUAGAAAUUGAAGUUGGCUUUUCGAGAAAGGCUUAUUUCAGUUCAAUGAUUCAGGGAUUCUGGUACAUGUUAAUAGAGAAUCUUAUGAAGGUUCAUGUAUGCUGUAAGUGCUUAGGCAAUUUGUUAUUUUCUUUUACCACAUAGACAGUAUUUCAACAUUUCAUACAUCUCCCUGCGGCUCUCUAUCUUGGAGCUUUUAU